AAGCUUAAGUUAACCUAAACUAGGGACCUUCAAAGUCCCAAAUAAGGCCCACACCCCUUAACUUCUG
rnacentral:tRNA from 1 species